rnacentral:tRNA from 1 species
GCCUGUCUGGCUCAGUUGGUGGAGCAUGAAACUCUUGAUCUUAGGGUCAUGAGUUCAAGCCCCAUGUUAGGCA